GCCUGGGUGGCUCUGUCAGUUGAGCAUCCGACUUUGACUCGGGUCGGGUCAUGAUCUCACGGUUUGUGGGUUCGAGCCCCACGUCAGGCG
rnacentral:tRNA from 1 species